rnacentral:rRNA from 1 species
GACGAACGCUGGCGGCGUGCUUAACACAUGCAAGUCGAACGGAAAUGCCCUGCUUUUGUGGGGUGCUCGAGUGGCGAACGGGUGAGUAACACGUGAGUAACCUGCCCUUGACUUUGGGAUAACUUCAUGAAACUGGGGCUAAUACCGGAUAGGAGCUCCUGCUGCAUGGUGGGGGUUGGAAAGUUUCGGCGGUUGGGGAUGGACUCGCGGCUUAUCAGCUUGUUGGUGGGGUAGUGGCUUACCAAGGCUUUGACGGGUAGCCGGCCUGAGAGGGUGACCGGCCACAUUGGGACUGAGAUACGGCACAGACUCAUAUGGGAGGCAGCAGUGGGGAAUAUUGCACAAUGGGCGGAAGCAUGAUGCAGCAACGCCGCGUGCGGGAUGACGGCCUUCGGGUUGUAAACCGCUUUCGCCUGUGACGAAGCGUGAGUGACGGUAAUGGGUAAAGAAGCACCGGCUAACUACGUG